GACGAACGCUGGCGGCGUGCUUAACACAUGCAAGUCGAACGGCAAGGCCCUGCUUUUGUGGGGUGCUCGAGUGGCGAACGGGUGAGUAACACGUGAGUAACCUGCCCUUGACUUUGGUAUAACUUCAGGAAACUGGGGCUAAUACCGGAUAGGAGCUCCUGCUGCAUGGUGGGGGUUGGAAAGUUUCGGCGGUUGGGGAUGGACUCGCGGCUUAUCAGCUUGUUGGUGGGGUAGUGGCUUACCAAGGCUUUGACGGGUAGCCGGCCUGAGAGGGUGACCGGCCACAUUGGGACUGAGAUACGGACCAGACUCCAACGGGAGGCAGCAGUGGGGAACAUGGCACAAUGGGCGGAAGCCUGAUGAAGCAACGCCGCGUGCGGGAUGACGGCCUUCGGGUUGUAAACCGCUUUCGCCUGUGACGAAGCGUGAGUGACGGUAAUGGGUAAAGAAGCACCGGCUAACUACGUG
rnacentral:rRNA from 1 species